GAUGAACGCUGGCGGCGUGCCUAAUACAUGCAAGUCGAGCGAACAGGUGAGGCGCUUGCUCCUCUGACGUUAGCGGCGGACGGGUGAGUAACACGUGGAUAACCUACCUAUAAGACUGGGAUCACUUCGGGAAACCGGCGCUAAUACCGGAUAAUAUAUUGCACCGCAUGGUUCAAUGGUGAAAGACGGCUUUGGUGUCACUUAUAGCUGGAUCCGCGCCGCAUUAGCUAGUUGGGAAGGUCACGGCUUAUCAAGGCUACGCGGCGUAGCCGAGCUGAGAGGGGGAUCGGCCACACGAGGGCUGAGACACAGCCCAGACUCCUGAGGGAGGCAGCAGUAGGGAAGGUUCCGGAAUGGGGGAAAGUCUGACGGAGCAACGACGCGUGAGUGAUGAAGGUCGCGUGAGGGUAAAACUCUGUUAGGAGGGAAGCACAUAUCUGUUAGUAACUAGCGACGUUGUGAGGGUAGGGAAUAAGAACGCCGCCUAUAAACACG
rnacentral:rRNA from 1 species